CGCUUGAGCCCAGGAGUUUGAGACCAGCCUGGGCAACAUGGCAAAACCCCGUCUCUACUAAAAAUACAAAAAUUGAGGCCCAGCAUAGUGGCGCACACCUAUAAAUCCCAGCACUUUGGGAGGCCGAGGAGGGUGGAUCGCUUGAGGGCAGGAGUUCAAGACCAGCCUGGCCAACAUGGCGAAACCUCAUCUCUACUAAAAAUACAAAAAUUAGCGGUGCAUGGUGGCAUGUUCCUGUAAUCCCAGCUACUUGGGAGGCUGAGGCAGGAGAAUUGCUUGAACCCAGGAGCCAGAGGUUGCAGUGAGCUAAGAUUUCACCACUGCACUCCAGCCUAGGUGACAGAAUGAGACUCUUGUCUCAAUCAAUCAGUCAAUAAAUAAAAGUACAAAAAUUAGCUGGGUGUGGUGGCACGUCCCUGUAGUCCUAGCUACUGGGGAAGCUGAGGCUUUCAUGAGAAUUGCUUGAGCCCCGGAGGCAGAGAUUGCACUGAACCGAGAUAGCAUCACUACACUCCAGCCUGUGCAACAGAGUGAGACCCCCAUCUCAAAAAAAAAAAAAAAAAAAAAGAUUUGGUGUUUUUAAAGUUUGUCUCUAGGUAAGAAAGUGUGGAUGAUUUCUCAUUCUAACCAAUAGGGAUAGAAAUUUUAGCCCCUGCAGCAGGUAAGUUUCCUGUAUAUGGCAGUUACUGAAAGUAAUUCAUUUCAUCAGAGGGUAUUAAAAACCCAAAACUAAUUUUGUGUUUGUUUUUUAUUUGGCAAAGAAAUGCAAUAAAACCAUGAAGUAGGAAGUUAUUACUGGUAUCUCUUAAAUGACAUAAUUUUGAGCCCAGACUUUAAAUGAUAUCUAACCUUUGUGUUUUACAGUGUUAUGGGUUGAACUGUGUUCCCCUAAGAUAGGUUGGAGUCCUAACCCCCAGUACCUCAGAAUGUGACCUCAUUUGGAGAUAAGAUCUUUACAGAGGUAAUCCAAUUAAAAUGAGGUCAUUAGGGUGGGCCCUAAUUCAGUAUGGCUAGUGUCCAUAUUUUUUGAAAAGUUGGGAGAGAUUUGAACACAGACGCACACCCAGGGAGAACACCAUGGGUAGAUGAAGGCAAAGAUUGGGGUGAUGCUUCUACAAAUCAAGAAAUAUUGAAGAUUACCAACAAACUACCAGAAGCAAGAAGAAAGGCAUAGACCAAAUUCUCCCUCACACUUAGAAGGAACCAAGUCUCCUGACACUUUGAUCUUGGACUUAACAGCCUCCAGAACUGUGAAACAAUUAACUUUCACUUAAGCCACCCAGUUUGUGGUACUUUGUUAUGCCAGCCCUAGAAAAUUAAUAUGUGAGAGAAUCCACCUUUCAGCGGCAUCACUACCAAAACUGGGUACAGAAGCAAAAUUAAAUGUGGGUUCUCCAGUGUGUGAUAAAAACAUUCCAGUAGAAGUGGCUUUGGCUAAGAAAGGAUGAGAUUCCUGGCCCUUGGGGAUGAGGAGAAUGCUGGUUUCUUUGCUUUCUGUGGUUGAAAUGCUUCCUUGGAUACCUGUGCAGCUGUGUAACUGAGCUUGUGCCUCCACGUUGGCCCCCUGGACUCAUGAGCACCUAAGCACCUAGCCGUUUCUUCACUUUAGGUUGUCAGUUACUGCAUGGAUGCGUCUUAACUCCAGGACUCGUCAGGAGUUGGUAUCGUCAGGGCAUUGUCUCCUUCAGCACUGAGAGUAGUUUAUGCAGCAGUCCUUGCUCCAGCUGGGUGAGAUGAGGAUUUGUCUUUGACAUGGGACAUUCAGCCUGUAAAGGUUUGUACAGGUUCCUUAUGAUCCAUGGGCCUGGUACCAAGCAUUAAUUAAGCCAGAACCAAUUGUGUUGCUCCCUUUUUAAAACUCUGCAUUGUACUUAGGAUAAAAUCCAAAUACCUUGCCAUGACCUCAAAGGUUCUGCAUAAUCCCUGCCCUACUUCCUCUCAGGCCUCAUCUCAGUCCACUGCCCUACUUGUUCUGCUCCACAGCCUAUUCCCUUGCUGGAAGGCUUCCCUCUGGUUCUUCCACUAACUGGCUGCCCCUCAUUCAGGUGUCAGCCAAAGUUGCGUUGCCUGUUAAGUUCACCAUCUAAAGGCUGAUUCCUCAUCCUUUAACAUGGCAACACCUUGUCGUUUUUGUUUUUUGGGGUGUUUUUGUUUUUUUGAGAGACAGUUUCGCUCGUUUCCCAGGCUGGAGUGCAAUGGCAUGAUCCCAGCUCACUGCAACCUCCGCCUCCCGGGUUCAAGAGAUUUUCCUGCCUCAGCCUCUCAAGUAGCUGAGAUUACAGACAUGCCACGAUGCCCAGCUAAUUUUGUAUUUUUAGUAGAGAUGGGGUUUCACAAUGUUGGACAGGCUGGUCUCGAACUCCUGACCUCAGGUGAUCCACCCACCUCGGCCUGCCAAAGUGCUGAGAUUACAGGCAUCAGCCACCGUGCCCAACCAACACCUUGUUUAUAUUAACAUGCUUGUGUCUUUUCCAUUAAAAUUUAAGUUGCAUGACAGCAAGAAGGACACGACUGUACCCCCAUUACUUAACACAGUGCCUAAAACGGUAUGAUGUCUUGUUAUACCUUGUUGAAUUGACUGGCUUUCCAUAAUUCCACAGGUAGAUCAAUAACUUAUAUUGGCACUGUAUAAACACAAUGAUGUGUGUAUCAGGUAGACACAGUAUUUAUCAACUGAUCUUGAUGUUAGAUGUCCUAGAAAGGAUCAAAAUACUAUAGGGACAAUACCCUUGUCAAUCUUUUAUUACCUUGCUCCAUUAACAUGCCAAGUACCAUUUGUGGAGGACAACAAUGAAGGUUACUUUCAUCUUUUAUGUAAAACUGUUCCAACUAAUGUUAAUAGUAGAUAAAAUUUGUACAGUAACACCUAAUUUUUAAAAAUAGAACAAAGAUUUUCUUUGGGUAUUGCCACAACCAAAAUUAAAUGAAAAAUUGUGUACUGCUAACCAAGACCUAAUUUUUAAAAUGUCUAUUGUGUAAUUUUAAAUAAAAAAUAACAAGGCUGGACACAGUGGCUCACACCUGUAAUCCCACUACUUUGAGAGGCCAAGGCAGGCAGACCGUUUGAGCCCAGAAGUUGAGGACCAGCCUGGGCAACAUGGUGAAACCCUGUCUCUACAAAAAAUACAAAAGUUAGCCAGGCAUGGUGGUGCACACCUGUAGUCCCAGCUACUGGAGAGGCUGAGGCAGAGAAUCAGUUGAGCCUGGGAGUUCGAGGCUGCAGUGAGCCCUGAUCGUGCUACUGCCCUCCAUCCUGGGUGACAGAAUGAGACCCUGUCUCAAAAAAUAACAGCAAUGACAUAGUGUAGUGGAAGAAACACUGGACUUACAUUCCAAUUAUGCCAUUAACAUAUGAUCCUUAAGUCUUCAUUUUCUUGAUUGUAUAAUAAGGGAGGUUGGUAGUUUCCAAUCUGGUUUCAUUUCUUUAUUCCUUAGAAAAGUCCUCUCUUCAGCCAAAGCCUAAUAUAUAGAACUACGCUGGUUCAAGAAGGCUGUCCCCUUCAACCCCCCUUCCCAUGCUGCAGACAGGAGUUCCUCUGAGCACAGUUUGAAAACCUUUGUCCUAGAGCUGGGGUCCCCAGCUCCAUGCCGCAGAUCUGCUAGGAUCUGGUAAAUCUGUUAGGAAGCAGGCUGCACACCAGGAGGUGAGUGUCGGGAGAGCAAGCAUUAUCGCCUGAGCUCCGCCUCCUGUCAGAUCAGCAAUGAUGGCGUUAGAUUCUCACAGGAGCGUGAACCUUCUUGUGAACUGCGCAUGUAUGCAAGGGACCUAGGUUGCCCACUUGUUGUGAGAAUCUAAUGCCUGAUGAUCUGAGGUGGAACAGUUUCAUCCUGAAACCAUCCCUAUCUCCCUGUGAACCACAGCCUUCCCCCGCAACCCCGGUGGAAAAUAUUAUCUUCCACAAAACCAUUCCCUGGUGCCAAAAAGGUCAGGGACCAGUUUAAAGUCCAUUCCUGUUCUAAAAGUGCAAUAACAUUAACACGCAAUUGGUUUGAUGUGAACUAUUUUGUAUCAUGUAAUGACAUAUAAGCUAGUUUAUGCACAAAGGGGGUAUUUUCUAAAAUAUCAGAAAUAUUGAUAAUCAUGCAUGGCUGCCUUUCAUAAAGCAUCUACUAAGCACUGCAUCUAAUCCUUAUAACCCCCCAAUAAGAUGGGUGUUAUUCUGUUUCACAGAAUCAGGAACACCAAAUAGUUUAUUCAUAAUUACACACUUACACUGACUCAUGGACCAGAUUCUAAUCCCAAGUUUAUUUUCAAAACCCAUAAUUUUCCCCCAAUACCACACUGCACUUUUAGCAAGAUUUUCUCUCUCAUUCAUUUUAUUUUAUUUUUUUAGGUUUCUUGUUGGAUUUGUUGUGGUUUUUUUUUUUUAAUCUAGAGCCCUGUAAGAACAACAACAAAAAAAGCAGAGUAUGAAUCUAACUCGUAUAUUAUGUCAAUAUUCAAUUGGAUAUUUUUAAGUUGGCAUCUCUUCCCCAGUAUAUAGGUAUUAUUUCAUUAAAUAGCAUUAGCACAUUGAAAAUACCACCUAUUAUUUUCUACCUAUUGUUACUUUGUAUCACAAAAUUAUAAAUGAUACGUAUGUUGUAGCAAUUAAAAAUUUUUAAGAGAUGAAUUCUACGGAAAAUGGCAGCAAUUUAAGUGAAUUAUUUCCAUAGGGGGAAAAAAAAUUUAAAAAAAAUAGGUUGGGUGUAGUGGCUCACGCCUGUAAUCCCAACAGUUUCAGAGGCCGAGGUGGGAGGAUUGCUUGAGGCCAGGAUUUGGAGACCAGCCCGGGCAACAUAGACCCCAUUUCUACAUAAAUUUUUCAUUAAAAAAUAAUGAAAUAGCAUUCUAUUAACUGUUAAUGAUGGUGGAAGGAACUAACUGAAGAAAUGACAAUGGGAAAAAUUGGAAGAAGAAAGUGAUCAGCUAUGGUUUUAUACAUUUCAAUAAAAUGAGCAUGAUUUUGAGUCUUGUUUUACUGGGUACAUACCAUAAAAUUAAUUCAUUUAUUCAUUCACUCAACAGUAUUUAUUGAGCAUCUAUUAUGUACUGGACAGUGUAGUUAAGAUAUAGCAGUCUACAAGAUAAAAUCCUGAUAAGGAACACAUAUUCUAGUGGGAGAAGCAGAAGAACAAGAGAACAAAUAACGUAAUUUUAGGUAGUGACAAGUAUUAUAAAGUCCAGCAGGCUACGAGCGCUAGAGAGCAAUAAAAAAAAUUAGACUCACGGAAAUUCAAUCACUUGUCAAGGUGCCAGCUAAAUCCCACAGUCCCUUCUCACACUGGGGUAUGUCUGGAGUGGACUCAGGGACAUGGGCUCAACAUGUCUAAGCAGCUUAUUGUGGCUUUUGUCAAAACCUCCAUACAGCACCAACUGCACUUCCCAUUAUGCUUGUCAUCACUAAGCACUCACAUUACCUUUUUUUUUUUUUUUUUGAAACAGAGUUUUGAGCUCAUAUUUCUGGACCUCUGUCGCCCAGGCUGGGGUGCAAUGGCGCA
rnacentral:lncRNA from 10 species